rnacentral:tRNA from 1 species
GGGGCGUUAGCUCAGCUGGUAGAGCAGCGGACUCUUAAUCCGUAGGUCGAGUGUUCGAGUCACUCACGCCCCA